rnacentral:rRNA from 1 species
AAAUUGAAGAGUUUGAUCAUGGCUCAGAUUGAACGCUGGCGGCAGGCCUAACACAUGCAAGUCGAACGGUAACAGGAAGCAGCUUGCUGCUUCGCUGACGAGUGGCGGACGGGUGAGUAAUGUCUGGGAAACUGCCUGAUGGAGGGGGAUAACUACUGGAAACGGUGGCUAAUACCGCAUAACGUCGCAAGACCAAAGAGGGGGACCUUCGGGCCUCUUGCCAUCAGAUGUGCCCAGAUGGGAUUAGCUUGUUGGUGAGGUAACGGCUCACCAAGGCGACGAUCCCUAGCUGGUCUGAGAGGAUGACCAGCCACACUGGAACUGAGACACGGUCCAGACUCCUACGGGAGGCAGCAGUGGGGAAUAUUGCACAAUGGGCGCAAGCC